UGGGGAAUAUUGCACAAUGGGCGCAAGCCUGAUGCAGCCAUGCCGCGUGUGUGAAAAAGGCCUUCGGGUUGUAAAGCACUUUCAGCGAGGAGGAAGGGUAGUGUGUUAAUAGCACAUUGCAUUGACGUUACUCGCAGAAGAAGCACCGGCUAACUCCGUGCCAGCAGCCGCGGUAAUACGGAGGGGGCAAGCGUUAAUCGGAAUUACUGGGCGUAAAGCGCACGCAGGCGGUUUGUUAAGUCAGAUGUGAAAUCCCCGCGCUUAACGUGGGAACUGCAUUUGAAACUGGCAAGCUAGAGUCUUGUAGAGGGGGGUAGAAUUCCAGGUGUAGCGGUGAAAUGCGUAGAGAUCUGGAGGAAUACCGGUGGCGAAGGCGGCCCCCUGGACAAAGACUGACGCUCAGGUGCGAAAGCGUGGGGAGCAAACA
rnacentral:rRNA from 1 species